rnacentral:rRNA from 1 species
GACAGAGGGUGCAAACGUUGUUCGGAAUUACUGGGCGUAAAGCGCGUGUAGGCGGCCCUGCAAGUCGGAUGUGAAAUCCCACGGCUCAACCGUGGAAGUGCAUUCGAAACUGGUGGACUCGAGUCCCGGAGAGGAGAGUGGAAUUCCGUGGUGUAGCGGUGAAAUGCGGUAGAUAUCAGGAGGAACACCGGUGGCGAAGGCGGCUCUCUGGACGGUGACUGACGCUGAGACGCGAAAGCGUGGGGAGCAAACAGG